UAAUACGGAGGGUCCGAGCGUUAUCCGGAAUCAUUGGGUUUAAAGGGUCCGUAGGCGGGCGAUUAAGUCAGUGGUGAAAGUCUGCAGCUCAACUGUAGAAUUGCCAUUGAUACUGGUUGUCUUGAAUCGUUGUGAAGUGGCUAGAAUAUGUGGUGUAGCGGUGAAAUGCUUAGAUAUCACAUAGAAUACCGAUUGCGAAGGCAGGUCACUAACAACGUAUUGACGCUGAUGGACGAAAGCGUGGGGAGCGAACAGGAUUAGAUACCCUGGUAGUCCACGCCGUAAACGAUGGAUACUAGCUGUCCGGUUCACAUUGGUGAGCUGGGUGGCCAAGCGAAAGUGAUAAGUAUCCCACCUGGGGAGUACGUUCGCAAGAAUGAAACUCAAAGGAAUUGACGGGGGCCCGCACAAGCGGUGGAGCAUGUGGUUUAAUUCGAUGAUACGCGAGGAACCUUACCAGGGCUUAAAUGUAGUCUGACAGGGGUGGAAACACCCUUUUCUUCGGACAGAUUACAAGGUGCUGCAUGGUUGUCGUCAGCUCGUGCCGUGAGGUGUCAGGUUAAGUCCUAUAACGAGCGCAACCCCUGUUGUUAGUUGCCAGCGAGUCAAGUCGGGAACUCUAACAAGACUGCCGGUGCAAACCGUGAGGAAGGUGGGGAUGACGUCAAAUCAUCACGGCCCUUACGUCCUGGGCCACACACGUGCUACAAUGGCAGGUACAAUGGGCAGCCACUGCGUAAGCAGGAGCGAAUCCACAAAACCUGUCUCAGUUCGGAUCGGGGUCUGCAACUCGACCCCGUGAAGCUGGAAUCGCUAGUAAUCGGAUAUCAGCCAUGAUCCGGUGAAUACGUUCCCGGGCCUUGUACACACCGCCCGUCAAGCCAUGGAAGCUGGAAGCACCUGAAGUCCGUCACCGCAAGGAGCGGCCUAGGGUGAAGCUGGUAACUGGGGCUAAGUCGUA
rnacentral:rRNA from 1 species